rnacentral:lncRNA from 1 species
UAGGAUCCCCAGGUGUUCUAUAGGUGUUCUAUAGGAUCCCCAGGUGUUCUAUAGGAUCCCCAGGUGCUCUAUAGGUGCUCUAUAGGAUCCCCAGGUGCUCUAUAGGGUCCCCCAGGUGUCCCCCAGGUGCUCUAUAGGAUCCCCAGGUGUUCUAUAGGGUCCCCCAGGUGCUCUAUAGGAUCCCCCAGGUGUCCCCCAGGUGUUCCAUAGGAUCCCCAGGUGUCCCCAGGUGUCCCCAGGUGUGUCCAGGUGUCCCCAGGUGUCCCCAGGUGUCCCCAGGUGUGUUUUUGAUGUCCCCAGGUGUCCCCAGGUGUGUUUUUGAUGUCCCCAGGUGUGUUUUUGGCUCACCUGGCUGGCCUUUGUCCCCACGCUGGCCGCGAUCACCUCGCAGGCGGCCCCAGGUGUG